CUGGGCGCAAAGGCGGGU
rnacentral:misc_RNA from 1 species